ACGAAAUCAUAUGAGCUAAACUUUUAGAAAUUAAUUAGAAAAUAGAUUUUUAGCGUAGCAUAGCUAAAAUAUUAUCUAAGUUUAGGGGUGAAAGGCCUUACAAAUUUGAUUAUAUCUUGAUACUUAGGAAAUAUAUUUAGUAUAUUUCUCAAACUAAAAAUGUUAAGGUUUUUAGUUAGAACUAUUAUAGAAUAAAUAAUUGUUGGAUUUUAUAAUAGAUACCAUCCCUAUACAUUUAAUAUUAUACAUCUUUUUAUUGUGGCAAAUACUAGGUAAAGUAUAAUAGCUUAUGCAGUACUUAUAUAAUGAUUACAUUAGUAUAUAUUAUAAAUUAUAUUAUAGGAAUUCGGCAAAAAUCGUAUUCUCGUCUGUUUAUCAAAAACAUAGCUUUAAGUAUUUUAUUUAAAGUACAACCUGCUCAAUGAGAAUUUAAAUAGCCGCAGUACCCUGACUGUGCAAAGGUAGCAUAAUCAGUUGACUUAUAAUUGAAGUCUAGUAUGAAUGGGAACACGGGAAUAUUCUGUCUUUAAUAUAUAAAAGAAAUUACUAAUUAAGUGAAAAUUCUUAAAAAUAAGAAAAUAGACGAGAAGACCCUAGAAAUUUUUUAAUUUGAUUUUGUUGGGGCGACAGGGUAACAAAAAACUUACCUAAAGUAAUAGGAAAUUUUUUAGUGGUGUAAUUAAAUUACUCUAGGGAUAACAGCAUAAUAUUUUAAAGGUUGUGACCUCGAUGUUGGACUAGGAAAUACACUACUUAAAAGGUAGUGUUUAUGGUUCUGUUCGAACCUUUACUCCUACAU
rnacentral:rRNA from 1 species